rnacentral:rRNA from 1 species
UACGGGGGGGGCAAGCGUUGUUCGGAAUUACUGGGCGUAAAGGGCUCGUAGGCGGCCAACUAAGUCGGACGUGAAAUCCCCAGGCUCAACCUGGGAACUGCGUCCGAUACUGGAUGGCUUGAAUCCGGGAGAGGGAUGCAGAAUUCCAGGUGUAGCGGUGAAAUGCGUAGAGAUCUGGAAGAACACCAAAGGCGAAGGCAGCGUUCUGGCUCGUAACUGACGCUCAUGUGCGAAAGCCAGGGGAGCGAACGGG